UUGCAUCAUGAUUUACAUUUGAGUGAGUGGCGAACUGGUGAGUAACACGUGGGAAACCUGCCCAGAAGCGGGGGAUAACACCUGGAAACAGAUGCUAAUACCGCAUAACAACUUGGACCGCAUGGUCCGAGUUUGAAAGAUGGCUUCGGCUAUCACUUUUGGAUGGUCCCGCGGCGUAUUAGCUAGAUGGUGGGGUAACGGCUCACCAUGGCAAUGAUACGUAGCCGACCUGAGAGGGUAAUCGGCCACAUUGGGACUGAGACACGGCCCAAACUCCUACGGGAGGCAGCAGUAGGGAAUCUUCCACAAUGGACGAAAGUCUGAUGGAGCAACGCCGCGUGAGUGAAGAAGGGUUUCGGCUCGUAAAACUCUGUUGUUAAAGAAGAACAUAUCUGAGAGUAACUGUUCAGGUAUUGACGGUAUUUAACCAGAAAGCCACGGCUAACUACGUGCCAGCAGCCGCGGUAAUACGUAGGUGGCAAGCGUUGUCCGGAUUUAUUGGGCGUAAAGCGAGCGCAGGCGGUUUUUUAAGUCUGAUGUGAAAGCCUUCGGC
rnacentral:rRNA from 1 species